rnacentral:rRNA from 1 species
CCUACGGGGCGCAGCAGUAGGGAAUAUUGCUCAAUGGGGGAAACCCUGAAGCAGCAACGCCGCGUGGAGGAUGAAGGUUUUCGGAUUGUAAACUUCUGUUCUUAGUGAAGAAUAAUGACGGUAGCUAAGGAGCAAGCCACGGCUAAAUACGUACCAGCAGCCGCGGUAAUACGUAGGUGGCAAGCGUUGUCCGGAAUUACUGGGUGUAAAGGGAGCGCAGGCGGGAAGGCAAGUCAGCUGUGAAAACUACGGGCUUAACUUGUAGACUGCAGUUGAAACUGGUUUUCUUGAGUGAAGUAGAGGUUGGCGGAAUUCCGAGUGUAGCGGUGAAAUGCGUAGAUAUUCGGAGGAACACCGGUGGCGAAGGCGGCCAACUGGGCUUUAACGGACGCUGAGGCUCGAAAGUGUGGGGAGCAAACAGGAUUAGAUACCCUGGUAGUC